rnacentral:lncRNA from 1 species
AAGAAGAGAGCUAAGGGGACCCGGGAAUGGCACAGAAGCUACAGUAAACACGAGAGAAAAAAAAGGCAGGCCUUGGGGGGACACAGGAGCAAGAGAAUUAGGGAUUGCCAGGACACCAGUGAAAACAGAAUGGAAGGAGGUCACAGAGAAAAAAAGAAGGGUGUAGCGGAAUGUCUGGGCGAGAAACAUUCCCUUAUGGCCCCAGCAGUUGGUGCCUCCUAUUGGUGGCAGUGUCUUCUCCAGGAUCCUGUAAACCAGAGGCUAUGUCAGGAGCUAAGGACAUGAUGGCCAAGAAGAACUAUGCACAGGACAAACAAGCAGGAGACAGGGUUCUGGGAGAGAAGGUGAGCUCACUUCUGCAGAUGACUCUACUCACUGGCCACACCAUGCUCUAUAAACACCCUGCACCAUCUGUGAUGUCAGCUGCCAGCCGCCUGGAGAAUCUGCCCUGCUCUGGGAGCUUGUAUUAAAACACUCACUUAUAACUCCCUAUUAAUUUUUCACGAGGAGUUAUUUUUAACUUGCUCAAACCAUUGUCUGAAUAUGCCAAAUAUAUUUUCUUAAUGAACGAGCC